CGCAGAGCCCAGCGGCCGCAUAUAUAAAUGCGAACCCGGGCUCUUCCUCGUAGUGCCGCCGGGACUGUUGGCGAGUGUGGGUCUCUGUCAGCUUUUGCGUCACUCGAGCCCUGGGCGCUGCGAGCUGAAGAGCCGAGCACGCGGGUCGGUCAUCAUGUCGCGUUACGGGCGGUACGGAGGAGAAACCAAGGUGUAUGUUGGUAACCUGGGAACUGGCGCUGGCAAAGGAGAGUUAGAAAGGGCUUUCAGUUAUUAUGGUCCUUUAAGAACUGUAUGGAUUGCGAGAAAUCCUCCAGGAUUUGCCUUUGUGGAAUUCGAAGAUCCUAGAGAUGCAGAAGAUGCAGUACGAGGACUGGAUGGAAAAGUGAUUUGUGGCUCCCGAGUGAGGGUUGAACUAUCGACAGGCAUGCCUCGGAGAUCACGUUUUGAUAGACCACCUGCCCGACGUCCCUUUGAUCCAAAUGAUAGAUGCUAUGAGUGUGGCGAAAAGGGACAUUAUGCCUAUGAUUGUCAUCGUUACAGCCGGCGAAGAAGAAGCAGGUAUUUGUUUUAAUAAAGGAAUGGUUGGUAUUCUAGUUAAUCAAGUAAUUCUUUUAUUAGCAAGGCAGAAACUAGUGUUUUUCUAUAAACUUGAAUGUUAAUUGUACAGGUGUAUUUUACAAUUUUUGUUUAAUUAAAAAAAUGUUACUAUAUUAAUAAUCAACCUGGUCAAAACCUUUCAGGUUUCUUCGUUUGAGUCAGUCGCCUUGAUUCAGAAUGUCACGAGCCUUAUGAUAUCAUGCUGAGGCGCCUUGCAAAUCCGACAAUUAAGAUCCUCCUAGACCUUGAGGUGAUCAGCAUAAGAGGCCAGAUCCCCUCGAGUCAUCUACACCUAGCUUCACCUUAUUCUUUAAAGGGCAGAAAAUUUGAGACGGUGAUCGCCGUAACAGUAAAUUUGGCUUACAAUUGGGGCCCCCCUCCGGUUUAGAAAGAGGAACACCAGAUUGACCACAUUCCCAACUAGAAAAAUCUUCUUGCGUCAAUCAAGCCUCACCUGGCUCAUUUGGCUGUCAGUUUGAUCGUCGUUAGAUUGAAGAAAACAUCUAGAUGCAGCGAUCGGCUAUAGAUACUUCUAGAUCGUCUAGAUCUACUAGACCAUGGGCCAAAGAGGGUCGACCUGCAAACUUGCAAGGUCACGGUCUAGAUCACAUUCUCGAUCCAGAGGAAGGCGAUACUCUCGCUCCCGCAGCAGGAGCAGGGGACGGAGGUCAAGGUCAGCAUCUCCUCGACGAUCAAGAUCUAUCUCUCUUCGUAGAUCAAGAUCAGCUUCACUCAGAAGAUCUAGGUCUGGUUCUAUAAAAGGAUCGAGGUAUUUCCAAUCCCCGUCGAGGUCAAGAUCAAGAUCUAGGUCUAUUUCAAGACCAAGAAGCAGCCGAUCAAAGUCCAGAUCUCCAUCUCCAAAAAGAAGUCGUUCCCCAUCAGGAAGUCCUCGCAGAAGUGCAAGUCCUGAAAGAAUGGACUGAAGCUCUCAAGUUCACCCUUUAGGGAAAAGUUAUUUUGUUUACAUUAUUAUAAGGGAUUUGUGAUGUCUGUAAAGUGUAACCUAGGAAAGAUAAUUCAACCAUCUAAUCAAAAUGGAUCUGGAUUACUACUCUGUAAAUUCACAGCAGUAAGAUAAUAUAAAUUUUUGUUGAAUGUAUUAACAUCCUAUGGUCUGAAAAUGUGGGUUUUUAUUUGGCACAUUUAAAUAAAAUGUUUCUAACUAGAUUUUUGAUUUGUGUUCAAUAUUAACACUUCUCAAUUUGAUGAAUUUCAGAGUCAGACAUUAUAAUUGUUAACCUUAUUCAUACAGACGUACAUUCAGAAUUGAAAGGUGUUGGUUAAGUCUUGAACAUCACUAACUGUUCUAUACAUAAAACUUGGCCAGGAUCUUAAGGGACUUUGAAAAUUCAAUUUUACCCUUGUAGCUUUGGGUAAGAUGACCUUGAGUCCCCUAUAAUAUAGCAUGAAUGCAUCAUGACAGAUCCUUAAGUUAGCUAAUCCGUUUGAAGUUGGUAUUAGUAGGUAUUGUCAAACUAAGGAUCAGUGGUCAGGCUAGUGGGACCACUGAUCUGUCUGUAAAUGAGCAUGACAGGAACUAAGCAAAAGUGAUUAAAUGUAUGACAAAUAGGGAGAAACUGAUUUCUGGAUGAUUUUUAUACUAAUUGCAGCUUUCAGGCUACUACUAGGUGGCAUAGUGUCAGAACUCCCCAACAUAGGGGGAAUUCUACUCAAUGGUCUUCGUUUCUUUGCUUUCUACAUUAGUUAUAACCAGUUUUAUACCAAAAAAAUGCAUGUUUGAGGAAUUGUCUGAAAUAGGGACAAAACACCAUGUAAACCAGCUUUGCAAAAUUUUCCAGCCCAGAUACUCCUCCUCUAUUCAAAUGGAUUGUCUUAUUCUGAGCAAAGACCUGGUAAUCUUCAAGCUAGGUUUUGCAGUUCCCAACCAUCAACAUUCUUCUAUUUUGCCAGGCUGGUGCAAAGUAAUUCAAGAUGUCAAUCAGAAAUGUCAAUGAGACUAAAGUGGUUUUGUAAAUCUCAGCUAUAUUUAGCAACACUCCAUGUAGCUAAUUUUUUUUUUUUGGUAGCGUCUGGUAGACCUUAGAAUGUUACAGCCAGUAGGUUCUUUAUUCAGAUUUUAAAUAUAUUAAGAAUAGUAGGGCAGUAACAGUUAGUUUUGAGAGUUUUCUGGUCAAGCUUUUACCAGGCAUUCUCUAGCCUUGGUACAAAAAAAAAAAAAAAACCCUGCUGGUUGCACAGAUACCUAGGCUUGUCCAUUUUAUGCAUUUCAGCAAAGUCAUUGGAUACCAUUGCAACUUGGGAAUACUGGUCUGCAUCAAGUUUAUUUGGUAGUUGGAUCGCUAGUAUGUUGGAAGUUAUUUGGAUUCUUUGUUUUUGGAAUUUUGACAACUGGCUGAAUUAUGGUUGGUAUAAAGUUAUGUGUAUGAUUGGCAGGCUUAUUUAUCUGUUGCACUUGGUUAGCUUUAAUUGUUCUGUAUUAUAUAAAGAUAAGUUUACUCAACAAUAAAUCUGCAGAGAUUGAACAAAUAA